rnacentral:rRNA from 1 species
ACUCAAAUGAAUUGACGGGGGCCCGCACAAGCGGAGGAACAUGUGGUUUAAUUCGAUGAUACGCGAGGAACCUUACCCGGGCUCAAACGCAGAGGGAAUAUGCGGGAAACUGCAUAGCCGAAAGGCCGUCUGCGAGGUGCUGCAUGGUUGUCGUCAGCUCGUGCCGUGAGGUGUCGGCUUAAGUGCCAUAACGAGCGCAACCCUUAUUGUUAGUUGCCAGCGGAUAAUGCCGGGGACUCUAGCAAAACUGCCUGCGUAAGCUGCGAGGAAGGUGGGGAUGACGUCAAAUCAGCACGGCCCUUACGUCCGGGGCGACACACGUGUUACAAUGGGAAGUACAGAGGGUAGCUACCACGCGAGUGGAUGCCAAUCCCGAAAUCUUCUCUCAGUUCGGAUCGAAGUCUGCAACUCGACUUCGUGAAGCUGGAUUCGCUAGUAAUCGCGCAUCAGCCAUGGCGCGGUGAAUACGUUCCCGGGCCUUGUACACACCGCCCGU